CACUAUGCCCAGCCUUAAACAUUGACAGUUAAUUACACCCACUGUCCGCCCGGGUACUACGAGCGCUAGCUUAAAACCCAAAGGACUUGGCGGUGCUUUAGACCCACCUAGAGGAGCCUGUUCUAGAACCGAUAAUCCCCGUUAAACCUCACCCUUCCUUGUUCUUUCCCGCCUAUAUACCACCGUCGUCAGCUUACCCUGUGAAGGCCCUAUAGUAAGCACAAUCGGCAAUGCCCAAUACGUCAGGUCGAGGUGUAGCGAAUGGAAGGGGAAGAAAUGGGCUACAUUUACUAAUAUAGUAAAUACGGAUGAUCACCCUGCAACGAGUAUCUGAAGGAGGAUUUAGCAGUAAGCAAAAAAUAGAGCGUUUUGCUGAAAUUGGCCCUGAAGCGUGCACACACCGCCCGUCACUCUCCCCGAACUAAGAUCUAAAACAUAACUAAUAUGC
rnacentral:rRNA from 1 species